UGGGCGGAGCUCCACAGAGGUGACAGGUGAAGUUGUGUACCCUAAUUAAUCACUGAUUUGAUGCACAACCCCCAGCACAGUCACGUCAUGUCACAACAGGUGUAAUAAUAUGGGUCUGGCUAACAUGCUGAAUGCUUUAAUGCUCAUGAAGGAGCCUCCAGUAGUGAUGUAUGAGUUCACUGAGGAACUUUUACCUUCAGUAAGGAGAGCGCAGUGGGACAGAGAGGCCGAGUGGACUGCUUCCAGUGGCACAGAGAGGUCUGGAGCUGGUUCUAACUUAUGGAUUGAGACUGGAUGAGAAGUUGAGCAAAAUGUGGAGGACUUUGUGGUGCCAGAUUGACCUUCAGACUGGGCUCUUCCUGCAGCAGGAGGUGGAGUCUGGACUGACUUUGUAGCUUCCGAUAGAGAUUGAGUCUUCCAUGACUGGACUGGAAUGUAUGACGGGGCUGAGACACAUAUUUCAGCCCCUCGGGCUACUGAUGUCUGAACAAUUACAGAGCAUGUUGUUUAUGCUUCAUACUUGUAAAUGCAUAUCAUGGGGUUGCAUCUGCCCAAAGGCUUUUGUCACAUAUCUUACAUCUUAUGCCUCUGUUUCUCCAUGUCUUAAUUCAAUCUCCACUGAAAAGUUCAUAGAGUUCAUAGCUUC